CAGUUUGUUUGUGUUGCCAAUAAAUCAGUAAACUCAACAGUCAAUAAUUCACAACAAUUUGAGCUUUAUUCAUCGUAUAACUAAUGAGUUUCGUGACCAUUAAUAUGUAUAAACUAGCAGACAAAAGAAGGCUGAACUAAAGUAAAUGUUUUAACUGAAAUUAAACUCUUUAAGUGGGGCUAAUGCAGUCCUAAAACAAGCUAGCUAACGUAGCUAACAACGCUGAUAUUUAAAUUUAAAUUGACAAGCUUUCUGAAGGCAAGGGUUUAAGCCUUUAAAGUAAAGGCUCAUUCUGAAGAACCCGAUUGAAGGACCUCCUAAUCCGCUGCAUGAUCCGUCUAUAGAUUUCCUCUCCACUGAAGAGUAAGGCAGCAGCUAAGAUGAGUCAGUCUGCUAAGAUGAGUCAGUCUGCUAAAACGGGAAUUCAACAUCCUCAAAAGACUGCACACACCGAAGACAGAGGUAUGUAAGAGUAAGAUCCACUCUUUCAUAUGGGAACCAGUUUGCCCUAAAAAGACUGAACCAUAACGGGAUGAGGACACAAUCCAAGAUGUACAAACUAUAAUUGACUGUCCCCAGAAAGAGAAGAGGAACCCCUAAAACUAAAGCAUCACUCUGAAGGAAUGUGCCCUAAAAAACAAAAUGAAUUGUCCCUUAUUUAGAACAUUAUCAGAUCUGCGAAAAGAAAACAAGGACGCCCUAUUUUCUGCACUGGACAGUGUGGAGAGUUGAAACAUGAACAGGGGAGUAUGAGCUGCACUGAUUUGUACUGUAAACAAGUGGAAGAGGAGCCAGCAGACCCUGAGACACGUGAAAUCUGCCAUGUAACAAAGUUUGGGAAUUGGGAAUUUGAAGGCCUGGAGGCAUUUGUGGAGGGAGAGACUGAGCCACGCUUAACUGGACACUACGAGGACACACCAGCAGCCGAGGCAGAGGAAAGCAACACAAAUUUGUCUCUGCAGGAGUUGAAUAUUUGUCCGUGCUGCACAAAUCCUUCAGACUCUGGCUUCCUGUCAACCAUCAUCACCGGGAUUAUAACUAUGGUAUACUUGGUCCUCUAGAUACCAGUCCUCAAAGUACUCUCUAGUAAAGUGACUUUUGAAAAUGUUGUCCCCAAGGCACACAUGCAUGAAUCUGCUAACACCUGUAUUCAUAUCCAUGCAAAUGUGCUUCUAUAAUUGUUAUCACUUGUUUUAUUCUGUAAACUGUAUA